rnacentral:tRNA from 1 species
GCCGGGAUGGCGGAGUGGACAACGCGCAGGCCUUGAGAGCCUGUGGCCCUUAUGGGCCGCGUGGGUUCGAAUCCCACUCCCGGCGCCA